UAAAACAUAAAAUAUUUUAACUUUCUUUUUAUUGAAAUGGAAUCGGGCGGGGCCGGAUGACCGGCAGUCGUUGUGGACUUUCAACCUUGAGCAUAACGUAAAACGAAGACCUCAGAGCGGGCUCUCUGUCUCUCUUCUGAGUUCUCACCCCUUUCAACCUCAAACCGAAGUGCAGGCUCCGUCCUCAAAAUCUCGCCUGCUGAUAUAGUGGGAGAGAGGGAAAAGAGAGGGCAGAAAGACGGAGAGAAAAAAAGGAGCAAUGGAUCCUUCUCUCUUCAUGAUGCUGUCCAACCUGCUGCAGCUUCACAACUAUCUUGACCCCGCCCUCCCAACCUCCUCCCUCGCCGACGCCUACUCCAGCUCCGCCCCUCUCCUCUUCUUCGUGAUCGCCUCUGUCCUUUCGCAUGCCGCAGCCCUUCGUUCCCGAUCCACUGCCUCCUCCUCCUCCCCGACCUCCGCCUCCACCACCACCACCACCACAACGACGACCACUACCACUACCACCACCACCACUACCGCCACCACCGCCGCCACGCCCAACUCCUCCUCCGACAGGAAUGUCGACGCCUUCCGUUCCCUCACGAAUGAACGAAUAUGGUCGAUGGAGCCGCAGACGCGCGAUGCGCAGUGGCGUUCCGCCUAUGGCCUCUCCUACCCGGUGUUCGCCAAUCUAGUGGACCAGCUCAAGCCCCAUCUCCAGAAGUCCCUGGCCGUCGACCUUGGCCUGCCGGCCGACUACGCCGUUGCCAUCGUCCUUUCCCGCUUGGCCCACGGCCACUCCCUUAAGGCCAUGGCUGCCCACUACAAGCUCAAGCCCUACCAGAUAUCCAAGCUCACAAAUUUGGUCACCCGCCUCCUCGCGACCAAGCUCUACCCCAACUAUAUCCGCACUCCCGGCGGUCACCGCCUCCUCGAGACCAUCCACGCCUUCCGCGAGAUCACAGGCCUCCCCAACGUCUGCGGCGCCAUUGAUGGCAGCUAUGUCAAGCUCGCUCGCACCACUGAAGCUCGUAUUGUCGACCCCGCGAGUUUCCGGUGCCGGUAUGGGUACUGCUCCAUCCUGCUCCAGGUGGUUUCCGACCACCGGAAGAUCUUCUGGGACGUUUGCGUCAAGGCUCCUGGCGCCUCUGACGACGCCACCCAUUUUAGGGAUAGUGCCCUCUACAACCGCCUCACCUCGGCCGAGAUCCUCCGGGACACUGUCAUCUCCGUCCGGGGGCACCACGUUAGGCCAUAUAUUAUUGGGGAUUGGUGUUACCCUUUGCUCUCCUUCCUGCUAACGCCCUUCACCUCUAAUUCGACUGGCACGCUCGCGCAGAACUUCUUCGACGCUUCGUUGAUGAAAGGCCGAUCAAUGGUGGAGCAAGCCAUCGGAUUGCUCAAGGGGAGGUGGAGGAUUCUGCAGGAUUUGAAUGUGGGGAUUAACCAUGCUCCGCAGACCAUCGUUGCUUGCUGUGUUCUCCACAAUAUAUGCCAAUUUGCUGGAGAGCCGGAACCCGUGCUCUACAAGGAACCUAAGGAAUCGGGGCCUCCUUCGAGGACGCUCGAGAAUGAGAAAUCGUUCUAUUAUUUUGGAGAGAGUUUGAGGCAGGCCAUUGCGGAUGAGAUUCAAGAGAGGCAACAGCGACUCCCUACAAGAUAGAAGAGGUGAUCGAUGAAGGUUGUUAACUUGCCUUGAGACUGUUUUUCCUGAUUACACUACAACAAAUUGGAUUGAGAAUGAUAUCAACAACACUCCAAUUGUCACACAAUUGCAGGCAUCAUGAGACUUCUCCUAAACCACCUUGUAAAUAUUGAACUCAUGUAGCUUCAUUUUUCUCUGUCUAUAUUGCCAUGGACAUGUAUUCAGCUUUUGUACUUGAUCUUGUUGUAGUUACUUUGUUUUUACUACUCCAUGAUACAAAAUUGUGUCCCAUAGAUAUUUAAUACUUAGAAGCAGAUCUCCUCUCAUCUGGCUCUCACCUAAUCUACAUGUUUAUAACGGUUGAUUUCAUGCCCUCUAUCAUCAUUCUAGGUUUGUUUAUCACCAAUGGUCACUUUUAGGCAUCCUGAAUUCUUUUGACAACAUCGACAUGGUUUACCCUUGACACAUGCAUAAAUUUCGAUACUUGAUUGACAUAAUAAAAAAUUUAAGAUAUUGAAGCAUUCCAACAAUGUUUUAGUAUUUGGGCGGGCCAUAGUUAGCAAACUUACCCAUCCGAGUCAUGAGUUGCUCGAGUAAGCUAGGAUCAUCCAUUUACUGGGUCACGAGUCAAGGCCCACUGAGUCAGCUGGGAUCGUCAACUAAUUACAUGUGCUUCUUUGUUGUGCAUUUCUGAAUACUGAAGUUUGUUACUUUUGGAAUUGUGAGCUAUCACAAACUUUACUAAAUAAACACAAAUACUCAUAUUACAUGUUAUUCACCUUUAGUUGAUAAAAAAAUUCGAACAUAUAGUCCUGCCGUACUUGCCUUUUUCUUAUAUUUAUAGAAAAUGCACUAUAAAAAAUUAUGACCUAACCCAGCCCUUCACUUGCCAAAGUGCAUCUUGGAUCUUUCGAUUAUGUUAUGGUCGUGUCCCACUCGUGGUGACCUGGUUGAAUUGGGAGAAGCAGUAGGUAUUAUUGUGGGUCAAUCCAUUGGAGAACCAGGGACUCAACUAUCCAUUUCAUUAGGAAUUGAUGAUCUCUUAACAACACCUUCUAAGAGAUGGUUAGUCCAAGAUGCUGAAUAACAAAGUUUGAUUUUGGAAAAGCACCAUCAUUAUGGGAAUGUACACGCUGUAGAAAAAUUACGUCAAUCAAUCAAGAUAUGGUAUGCCACAAGUGAUGUUUGGGACAAGAAAUGAAACUUAAUUUUAAGAUGACUGAUCCAUCAAAUCCAGUCCAUAUAAUGUCCUAUUCUAGAGCUAGAGGAAAGACAAUUCUCUGACCCAGUGACCCAAUCUGCAGCCGAUCUUAUUCUGAGUCAUGGGCUUGCCAACUAUGAUGGUGCAUGUUUCCAUUUUUAGUGUUGAGCCUUUACUAUGGAAUACCAGGUGUAUUCAUAGGCUUACUAUUUGUCCUUUCUACCCUAUUCAAUAAAUCAAGAGUUUACUUAUGUUGCAAAAGAGUCGACAUGUAUCCUUGUCCGUCCAAUUUAACCUCAAGAAAAUGUCUAAAUUCUUUAAGAUCUUUUAUCUUGAAAGUGUGCAUCAUAAGUCUUUGACUGUUUGUAGAUGGUUAUCUAAGUUGCCUAUGAUAAUAAAUUUGUCAACAUAUAUGAAGAGUAAAGUAGUGAUAUUCUCUUUCUUAAAAAUAAGAAAAUGGGCAAGACGCCACCUUCGAAAACUCCAAUUUUUUGAAGCUGGAGGGAAAAGGAUUCUAACCAAGAAUGAGAUUCUCACUUCAGUUAGGGAUGGGAUCGGGUCUGCCCGAUUGAGCUAGAAUAAGAAGUCGGGCUCAGGCUGGCUGCAGUCCAUGCCUACAGCCUGGGCCCCCGCUCGACAGCCUGCGACCUGAUUAUAAUAUAUAUAUAUAUAUAAUAUUAUAUAAAAAGAUUAUAUAUAUUAAAUAAAAUAAUGUUAUAAAUAUUAUUGUGCUGAGUUGGGCUGAGUACAGGGUACCCAUCAUGCACCCGUUUCAGUGUCCGCCCUUAACUUCAAUCAAGUAGGUGAAUUUUUCUUAGUUUGUACACUCUGGCAUUGGGGUCUUGUUUGGCAUAUCCAGAGGUUUCUCCUUGUAUAAUUACUUCUCAUUUCUAGGAAAGAUAUUUUUGACAUCUCAUUGAGUGUACUGCCAAUGACAUAAUAAUGCAAACUGUUCCCUUAUUGUCUAUGGGACUGAAAGUCUCAUUGCAGUGUUUCCCAUAUUGUUGGGUUAGCACGCACCACAGGCCCUACUUUUUCUCUCAAGGAUUCUAUCUGGUUUAUAUUUGAUCUUAUAAUAUCACUUGCAUUAUACGACAUUUUUUCCUUACGUGUAGGCACCACCUUCCUGGUCUGACAUUCUAUCCAUUUAUUGAAGGUAGUGAGUUCAUCUUGUUAGCAACCUGAUACAUAAACAAUUAAAAGUUCAUGAAAAAAUAUUCAUAAUUAACCCACCGUUGGAUUGGACGAUGAACUCUGUCUCAUCUCCAUAUAGGGUAACUUGUCCUAGGUUCUUACAUAUCUCAUGUAGGAUCAUUUUCUCUUCAAACAUAGACUUGUCCUGGAAGCCAUUGUACUCUGACUUGGGCAUCGGGCCGGAUAAAAAAAUUAUUUUUUAAAAUAUAAAAUAUUUUUUGAAUAUAAAAUAUAAUUUUAAUAAUAAGGUAUAUAUUAUUAAUAACAAAUAUUAUUUAAAAGUUAUCUGUCCGGAUCGGCCCCCCGUUCGGCCCGGACCUGGGCCCGUAUUGGCCGGGUACCGACUACCUGCCGGCGGUCCGGCCCGGCACCCAGGUCUAAUUGUACUAUUUCAGACAUAUGUGCAAUGGUUGUAUGUUCUUGCAACCCUCCAUUUAAGUUAAAGAAUUGGCAAAAAAUUUGAAUUUGCACAGGCAAACAAGGAUCAUGGACCUCAAUGUUGCGGGAGUAUUUUUUUUGUAUAAUGAUAUUGUAUCGACAAAAUCUUGUUCGUGAAAAGAUUCAAAGCACAAUGUUUCUAGAAUCAUGUUCUUGCAAUAGGAUCAUAGCAUAGUAUCUCUUAUGUUUGUCUGCAUAUCCAAUCAAUAUGCACUUCACAACUGUCUUAGAUGUGUUAAUGUGGAUAUAACACAUAAACCAAAAGUACACAAUUCAUUAGGAUCAGGAUGUUGUCUAUAAAGAGUGAAGUGAGGAGACUUAUGUGCUAAAAUUGUCAUGGACAAAUAGUUAAUAACAUGAACAGUAGUGUGAAAAGCUUUUUUUAAGAGAGAUGUAUAUAUCAUUAGUUUACUAUUUCGGAUCUGGAUAUGAAUCUAAUAGAGUGAAAUAAGAAGACUUGUCUGCUAGUACUGACAUGGCCAAACAACUAAUAAGAUGAAUAAUGAUGUGAAAAGUUUCUAUUCAAGAGAUGUAUAUGUUAUUUCUUUUAUUAUUUUGGAUUUGAGCAUGUCCAAUCCAAACAAUAUGUUGUAUACUAAGUCACAUUGGUACUUCAGUAAGGUCCACGUACCUGUGUCGCCGUACCCAUACCCAAGCUACUUGGACACACUUGGGUACCUUUAGAUCCAAACUUCUUACUUUUACUUUGAUUUAAUUUUUUCCACCUCACUUUUUAUUUUAUUCUUAGAGUUAUUGUUCAUUAACAUAUAAUGUUUUUAUUUAUAUUACUUGUUUAUUAAAAUGUUGCUUUCAUUUUUUUUUGUGUUAUUUUGCAUAUCCACAUAUUACAUACAUAUAUCCUACCGUACCCCCGUACCCACAUUUUUUAAAGUUGUCGUGUCCGUACCUGUAUCUCCGUACCCAUCCCCAUACCAUACCCGUACCCAUGUGACUUACGUUGUAUAUAUACAUACUAUAUAAAUACCCAAUUUUUCUCGUCGUACUUUGUCAAUUAGGGUGAUGCCCUUUUAUUGUCAAUAGAACAAUUACUACCACAUAUCGUUGUGACAUUUGAUCUUGUGCAGUUUUUCCUCUUCUUUUCUUUAUUCUUUCUUGUAAAGCGUUUUGGGAGAUUUCUGUCAUACACAGAGUGAAUCUGAUCCUAGGACUGCUUUUUUCUGAAAAUUGUGUUCCAAGUGAUCUCUUCUGCUUCUGAAUAUCUCUGUUUGCAUUUCUUUCAUUUGUUUCCUCUCUCCUUUGGCUCCUUAAAUGUGUUUGCUUUAUUCUAUUUUCUUGCCAUAAUGUUUUUUUAAUGUCACCUAUUCAUAAUUUGAGUACUCCUGUGUCAAUUAUUUCCUCACUUCACUUAUUCUUACUACCCCUCCUUACUUUUUCUCCAUUCUGUUCUCUUCUCUUCUACCCAGCAAUAUCUUAUUUCUCUUCUGUUUUACUUAUUCUGUUCUGCGUCAUACCAUCAUCCUUUAUUCAUACGAUUCAAUUUUGUCCAGCAUCCCAUAUCUGUCCCUCAUCAACUGAACAGUUUUCAUGACAUCAAAGAUGUUUUCUCUGUUCUACAUAAUAUUGCCUGUGUGCUGUUGGGUUGCUCAAGUUGUGCAGUUUCAGUAAACAACAGAAUCUCUCAAUUUGAUGUUUGAUCUCUCUUUUACUAAAAAAGGAAUGAACAAGGACCAAAAGAGAGGGAGAAUAUACAUAUAUAUAAGUACUAUAUAUAUUUCUGAGGUGUAUGUAUUUGUAUCCAAAGGAGAGAAGAGAAGUAAUGUUUCAGCAAGAAGAAUUCUGGUUGUUCUAAAUUCAAAGCUGCUUAUUUUUCAAUUUUUCCUUCCGAAAAAAAUUCAUUCAUUUUCUUCUGUCCUCUUAAUUCUUAUACUUCCACUACUUUUAUCCUCUUGUUUUGUCACAUGGACCUCUAUUCUCAAUCUGUUAUCUCCUCCAAUUUUCUGGGAGAACUAGUUUAUAAAAAACUUACCUCAAAUUUCUUGACCGGAAAAUGCAAAGUCUUUUAUUGGUUAAAUGUCAAGGUCUCUCUAAACACCUUGAUGGAUCGAUUUCAGUCCCUCUGGAAUAUGUCAUGCAAUGCAGGAAACUAAUGAUGGUAAUAGAGCUGGUGGCUCUGCAAAAAUUGUUUUAGAUCUCAAAUAUGAGACAUGGAUGAAGCAUGACCAAGCAGCAGCAGCUGUUGCUUUCAUCACCUCCUCUUUCUCAAGAGGUGUUAGUGAAAACUCCUGAUCUGUGAUAAGUGUUCGGCAAGAAGAGUUUUGAGAUAAGCUGGCAAAGACUUCAGGGACCAGAAUCUCAUAUUGUCGGUAUGAAGCAUGAUUGUCCUUUUGCAUAAUUUUUUUCUCAUGUUAAUUCCUUAGUUCCUUUUUCUUUUAUCAUGUACUUUGCUCAUGUUGAGCAUGGAAGGCAGUUGUUUAACAAUUAAUGGAGCUCAUUUAGCCCUCUUGCUUGUACUUCGUCUUCUUCAACCUUCUAUCUCUUCAUCCAUCACUUUGCCGAUAUUCUGCACGGAAGGCAAGAUAAUACUUUUGUAUAA